rnacentral:rRNA from 1 species
AUUGAACGCUGGCGGCAUGCUUUACACAUGCAAGUCGAACGGCAGCGCGGGGGCAACCCUGGCGGCGAGUGGCGAACGGGUGAGUAAUGUAUCGGAACGUAUCCUGUAAUGGGGGAUAACCAGUCGAAAGAUUGGGUAAUACCGCAUACGCACGAGAGUGGAAAGUAGGGGAUCGCAAGACCUUACGUUAUAGGAGCGGCCGAUAUCUGAUUAGCUAGUUGGUGGGGUAAAGGCCUACCAAGGCGACGAUCAGUAGCUGGUCUGAGAGGACGACCAGCCACACUGGGACUGAGACACGGCCCAGACUCCUACGGGAGGCAGCAGUGGGGAAUUUUGGACAAUGGGCGCAAGCCUGAUCCAGCCAUGCCGCGUGCGGGAAGAAGGCCUUCGGGUUGUAAACCGCUUUUGUCGGGGAAGAAAUCUUCUGGGUUAAUACCUCGGGAGGAUGACGGUACCUGAAGAAUAAGCACCGGCUAACUACGUG